CGGAUGAAUGGGGAAAGCCAGCAGGGUGGGAGGGAGAUGCUGGUACAGAGGCUUGGGGUUUUGAGGGCAUCUUAGCAGUAUCUCCCAUCCACCCACCUGGGCAGAAGUCAGCAGGCCAC
rnacentral:precursor_RNA from 7 species